AGUCAAGUAUGGUACACUUGUAUCUAUUAAUGGUUAUGCGACGGCUAUGCAAAUAUAUAAUCAACAUAUUAUGAAUAUUACAUGUUAGGCACUGGGUAAUAUGUCCUAUGGCUUCCUCUUGAGCACCACAAUGCUCUUUUUAUUAAGGCUACAAGCAAUUUGGCUCAAUCUCCUUUGCAGGCAGAGCUGCUGGGUCUUCAGUACUACCUUCCUCACGGAUAAUGUGACAAUUGCAGAUACGAACCAGCUGGUCACUGGAGCCUUAGACCGUUAUGGAGUCAACUACAGUCAAGAAUACCUAAUCAUCUCAUGCAACUCAUCUAGCUUACCCUUCAAGGCUUUGUUAUGCUUCCAGUUUGCAAGCUCAUUUAAGUCCGGUGAACUCUUCCUCCUCCAUCUCGUCGCCGAUGAGUACCUCGACACCCAAUGCAGCGAUGGUGACGGCGAGGUUGAGAACGGCCACGACAUCACGUUCUUGCUGCCACCGCCGCCGCUUCCAACGGAGAGGGAGCGGAAGAACGUCUUGGGCCGUGGCGGCGCGUCCGCAUCCGUGGGCAGGCGCGCGGAGCGACUGCAGAUGCCGGCCUUCCCACCUCCGGCGGUGCACAGAUGAGCCGCCAAAC
rnacentral:lncRNA from 1 species